ensembl:lncRNA
GUGACAUAGCAAGGAGACUCAUAUUUAAGUGAAAUUUAAGUGAAGGAGAAACAGGAAGGGCCUUCUUUUUCCUCUCCACUCCUGCUCCAGCGGCAAGAUGUGAUCCACUGGCAUGGAAGGACACCAAUAAGGCAUCCGAUAAGAUAAGUCUUAUAAAAUAUAUAGGUUUAUGAUAGUUAAGACUGAGAUAACAGAUGAGAAUCCUAGUCAUUGGCCAUACAGCAUUGUACCUAAUAUAAGUUUCUGUGUAUUCAUUUGGGCCUAACUCGGGCGGGCGGCUGACGUAAAGCUCACACGUGGCGGUGGGGCUCAGGUGGUUUUGGCAGAAAGAUUUAUCAUAACAGAUGCCCAUGUCAGCCAGGGCAUCUUCACCUUGUCUCAUCCCCCUGCCAGCUGAGGAACACACGUAGAGCCUUGGGGAAGAGUUAAUGAGUAUAUAGGCUGGGUAGUCUUUGUCAUCAAAUUAAGGAUUUGUUCUUUCUUUUUAGAGAAUGAAACACUGCUGGACUUUAAAGAAUUACAUACCCUUCUGAGAUCCAGCUGACUUUCCUGGUUUGUUCCUGAGAUGGGGAGUGUGGAUUGAGAAAUGGCUGAGUUAUGUAACCAAAAAUACCUGAGAUUGGUCAUUUAUAAGGACUGAAGUGUUUUGUCACAGUUCUGAAGGCUGGACCUUCCAAGUUUAGCAUGCUCCCCAUUGGUACCUGUGAAGCUUCCUGUUGGCUGGUCUAGAAGCCCACUGCCAGGAUGUGGAGGAAGGUGUGAGUACGCCAGUCACCUCCAUUUUUCUGACUCAACAUGUGGCCCCUGUUGGACCUCCAUCCUAAAGGAAGUUUCAUGCCCCUUGCUGGAUCUGCCAACUGAACAUAACAUAACAAGAUGCAAGAAACAAAAAAUGCACAGACUGUCAUAUCAAGGUAGAACCUCAUAAAUGUCACUUCCAAAUUUGGCUGCCACUGGGGAUGGAGAGGGAAAUGUGGGACCUGUUGCCCCCUUUCAUCACUUUUGGAGCAGCUUCUGGCUUCAGUUUUUAAGAUCAGAGAACACCUUAAGCUUCUCUUCCAAGAGUUGGAAGCUUAGCGAGGUGGGUUCUUGUCCUGAGUAUACCCUUCCCUUUAUUCCAAUCAGGCUUCUUCUUAAACACCUAAUUUCUUUUAGACUACAGCCUCUCUUCUAGUACAGCCAUGGUUAUAGAAUCAAGCUUGUCAUUUUCUUUUUUUCUCCAAAGUGAAUGUUUCCUAUUUCUUUCUGCCCCAUAUGCUCCUUUUCAUUGUAGACCUGCAUAAGAGUGAUAGUUAUUAACCAUAUAGCAAAGCUAAAAUUGGACUGUCUUGAAAUCUCCUAUGGCAAUAAAAUUAGUUCAUUCUUUUAAAAUACAUCCUUAAGCAAAUUAUCAGUCCAUGGGCAGAAAGAAGCCAUAUCUUUUGCAAAAAUACCACACAAGGAGCCUCUACCCCAAUUGCUAAUAUUGUUCUCAUCUUAAAAAUUUUGAUCCAGGUAGGGUAUCAUAUUCUAUAUAGCACUACCAUCUAACUAGCUUCUGCUAGAACAGCCCAUUAAGCUCUGCUUAGAAUGUUCAAAUUCUUCUCUAGUGCAAAGUUUCAAUGUUUUCCACAUUCCUCAAAAAGAAAAAGUCAUAUUUUCACAACCCCCACUCUCUCUCUCUCUCUCUCUCUCUCUCUCUCUCUCUCUCUCUCUCUCUCUCUCCUUGUAUUUUUACCUGGCUUGUGUGUUAGGGUGAUACUGGCUUCAUAGACGAGCUUUAGAGUUCUCUCUCUUUCUCUCAUUCUCUCUCUCUCUCUCUCUCUCUCUCUCUCUCUCUCUCUCUCUCUCUCUUUCUCUCAGUUUAAGACAAACUGGCUGUGAAUCUUGGGAUGUCUGGUAGAAUUCUGCUGUGAAUUAAUCAAGUUCUGAACUUUCUUCUACCUGAAACAUUUUUUCAUUACUAUUUUAAUCGCUUCAUUUGGUUGUGGGUAUGUUUGGAUAUUUGGUUUGUUGACUUCUUUGUUUAAUUUUGGUGCUUUGGCUGAAUCCAGAGAUUAAUCCAUUUAAGUUUCCCAGUUUAAUGGGACACAGUUUUUAAACACUUGUACCUCGAUUCAAGAGGCUGUUUUGAGAGUCUUUGGAGGUGUGUCUUGCUAAGGAAGUACAACACUGGAGGUGGCCUUUUAGAGUUUGAGGCCUCAUCCCACUUGGGGUUUUGCUUUCCCUGCUUCUUGUCUGUCAAUCAAGAGGUAAGCUCUUAGCUUGUUACUACAUCUGUCAUACCUGCCACUUGCUACCAUACUUCCCCCACCAUGAUGAGCCAACAACUGACAAGUGGGACCUCAUUAAAAUAAAUGGUUCUGCACAGUUGAAGAAACAACUAAUUGGAUAAAGAGAAAGCCCAAAUGGGAGAUAAUCCUUGCCCGGUAUACAUCUGACAGAGAAUUAGUAUCCAGAAUAAGCAAAGAAACAAAGCACAAAGAAUCAAAACAACAAAUGACCCAUUCGAAAUAUGGAUCUUGGACCUGAAUAAAGAGUUUCCAAAAGAAGAAAAAAAAUGUCUGCGAGAUAGUUCAAGGAUAUUCAUUGCCCCUAGUAAUUAUGGAGACGUAAGUAUAAACAAAUUUGAGAUUUUCUCUUACCUUAUUGGAAAUGGCAAAGAUCAAGGCAACAACAAGCAAAUAGUGGAGGAGAUGCAGGGAAAAGGAAACUACCAUUCAUUGUAAGUAGCUACUGUGGAAAUAAGUAUGGACAAUUCUUAAAAAGCUAAAAAUAAACCUUCCACAUGACCUAGCCACAACACUGUUUAGCUUAUACUGAAUGGACUCAAAAUUUUCAAAGAAUAUACUCCACAGAUACUUGCUCAGUCAUGUUCAUUUUUUCUCUAUUAACACUAGCUAGGUAAUGUAAACACUGAAUGUCCUAUAACAGAUGAACGGAUAGUGAGAAUAUGGUAGAUAUACACUAUAGAUUACUACUGAACUGUAAAGAAAAACAAUACAAUGAACUUUGCAGAUAAAUGGACCUAGAAAAUAUCUUAUUGAGUGAGAUAACCACCACCCAAGAAGACAAAUGCCUCAGUUCUCUCUCACUGGAGACUCCUAGCUCCAAAUCUUCAGAGUACAUUGUCCAGAAACCAGGAAGGUAAAGUGGGACCAUUCCCUGAAUAAAGCAGUUGAGGAGCAGUAGAGAGAGGAAUAUCAGGAUACAAGUCAUCUGAUCAGGGAAAUGGAAAGGGGGGAUCCUUAGCGAGAGGAACAAACAGAAAAAGGUAAGAGGAAGGAUAACAGGGAUAGAGGAUAUAAGUGAUCUGAUAAGGAAAUAGGAGAAGUGGGCUUCUUUAGGGAUGUGGAAGACAGUAAUACAGAAGAAGGGUGGAGGUGGGUAAAAUAAGAAUAACAGUGUCUGAAAUAUCCACAAGAAAUUACACUCUUACUUAUUUAAAAUACCUAUAUAUAUUAUAUGCAUAAUUCCACAUUUAAGUUGUAAGUUUAAUAAACGUUUGUCUUUUGUGCUGAUAGUCCUCCAUCCUAGAGCUAAAGACUCCCUAUCAAAAACCCCAAUGCCAGACAUGUGAAGCCCUCUUCUGAUUUCUUGGCCAGGGUUGUCCAAAAGCUACCACCUAUUGCCGUCACUUCGGUUAGUGCCUAAGGUGGAAGGCUAAGUCCUGAUUGAUGAAAAUGAUGCCAUACACUUCAGAACCAGGUCCCAGAGACCCGUGAGCUUCCAUGGUAACAGAAGGCACCAUGAAAUAUUCCAAUAAAGAGAUACAACCAAUAUCCUAUCUAGCUAUGACACCUAUAAAUCACAUCAAUGACUAGCAUGGCAUGAUCAUCCUAAGGGGACAACAUUAUCCUUACGUAUACCUUGUCAGGAACUCAUUAAGUGUACCCAAGACCCACUCAAAAAAAAAAGGAAAGAAGACCAGCUACUGGAAACCCAGCUAACUAUUCAGUGCUAGUGAAAUCAUGAAUAUUUGAGGAGAAUCUAUAAUCUAUUUACUAAAGUAGCAUAAUCCCUAAUGACAAUCUAUAAACAUUUGCUCUCAUACUCACAGAUAAGUACAGUCUUUACCCCACACCAAGAAAAUUUCUCUUUGUAAUAGAGACCACCACAGAAACCACAACCAACCAAAAUGCAGAGUUAUGAAGCUUAGUUCCAAUAGAUACAUCCAUACAAUAUUCAGGAAAAACUGCUAAAGAAGGAUCAUAAAGAUUGUAAGAGCCACACAUAGUAUUAAUGAUUUCACUGUGAGAUUGUCUUUUGGUAAUAUCAGAAACAAUACUCAAAAACUCUCACCAGUAUUCUGCCCAAACACAUUCUAAGCAAGUAUGAUACCAAUGGACAUGACAAAGUUGAUUGGGGAAAGCCUACCAGGCCUCAAUACAAAGAACUCUAGAUAACUAGGGACUCUGGGAGCAGAAGAGGUGGUCUUCCACAGAGAAGACCAAUUCAUUUUCCAGUAGCAAAAUGUCAACCCUCAAAACAUGCAUAUACAUAAUAUUAUACCGCCUGAACAGGUGAUAUUUAGGAAUAUAUAUGUAUAUACAUUUAUAUAUACACAUUCAAUAAUGACUAGUGAAGAAACAGGACAUGAAUAAAAAGAACAAUGAGCAGGGGUAGAUAAGGUAGGUAGGUAAGGUUGGGAGGGAAGAAGGGGGAGGGAAUAAUGUUGUAAUUAUAUUAUAUUAUAAAGAAAACUACCAAAUAAACUAAGAAUGAAACUGAACCUCAAUAUAAAAGAAGAAAACUGUACACGCCUCCAGCCAGCCUCACACAUACUGAUAAAAUUUUUUAUGGCUUCUCUGUAUGGAGAAAAGUGAAGCAAUGAUUUCUGGUCUUGCCAAGUCAGCACUUUAUGGUCUCAUGAGUCCCAAAUAUGCAAAUAAAAGUCACAUAGUCUUAUUUUUUAUAGAGAGAACACUAAAACUCAAGAAGAAAUGCACUAGAAACAAUAACUAACACUAGCAAAUCUGCAGAAUUUGGCAUCAAUGUAUAAACUUUCAUUCUACUUGCAUACUCUGGAUAUGAAAAGUCAGAAAAUAAAGUUUAAAAAGAACAAUUCUAGCUAGUAAUGUAGCUCCAAAAUAGAACAUGUUCUAAGUACAAAGAUGUUGGUUCUAUCCCUGACCCCCAAAACUAUAGUAAAGAACAAUUUCAUUGCUGGCAUAGUUAAUAUUUAUGAGAUAUUUUGUGUAAAUUUUUUAAUCUUCAAUGCUUAUAUACUCAAAAAUGAAAAAUAUUUAUGCAAUAAAUGUGAAUGUUUAAGUGGAAGAGUAUAUUCUAUUAAAAACAGACUAACGCAAUUAAAUCAUGUUCUUUUUCCAGUAAACUGGUAUGCGUGUAUAGAUUUAAUAUUUUCUCAGAAAAAAACACAGCAAUCCUUUAAGUAGAAAAUGAGAAGCUGAU